UUUUGUAUAGAUCUGAUAAGGCUGGAAAACUGCUUGCUGAAGUAUUGUUAAAGGGGUUGCAAGGACAUAGGUACGCCAGUGGAAAAGAGGAAAUUGUGAUUAUUCUUAUUUAAUUACAUUCGAAGUCAGAGUUUACUGUUCCUCCGAUUUUCAUUUCUGGUUGUUCAAUCAAAAUUUGCAGGCCUGUGACACUCGUAGGUUUCUCACUUGGUGCAAGAGUUAUUUUCAGCUGCUUCAGAUUUUGCCUGAAAGUGAAAAUAGUGGUAACACAUUAAGCUGACCCACUAAUCUAUGGCACAGUUUAUUUGCUCCAUCCUAAAAUUAAAGACUAGAAAAAGUUAUAAAGAAAGGUGAAACAUAUUCAUCGAUUUAUAUUUUUUUAAUGUGCCACAUGCUCAUUUACAAUACGCCAAAUUAGACAAGAUGGUAGAUACACUUAAGAGUGUAUCUAUGUUUGGCAUGGUAUGUGUCCCUUAUUUGAUCUAUCAAUAGUCUAUCAUUUAUGCUUAAAACAAGCAUCUAUUGUUUCAUUCUUUGAGCAAUGCUGCUUGUACAGGCCACACACAAUACAGAGGGGUGGCUAAUUUCAUUUUUUUUAAAAUAAUCCCCCACCCAACAUGUGAGGGGCCUAUACAGCAGGCAAUUUCCUCCUCAGAAAUGGUUCACAUUCCAUCUAACUGAUGCGGGUAAAGGUGUUUCCAAUUUUCCACUCAAAUCACUAACAUCCCAUCUAAGUACAAAGACCUUAAUGUAAAGGCUUUAGUGCCAAUGUCAGCCAUCUAACACUUUGAACAAAAGAAUGAGGAAAUUGCCUAUUGUUCACAGGGGACAAAUCUCUCACAUGCUGGGUGGGGGAUUAUUUAAAAAAAAAAAAAAAAUUAUCCACCCCCCUGUUUUCACAGGGCCUGUACAGGUAGCACUACUCUUCUGAGGAUUGGAUAACUAGAACCUGCCGGCAUGGACUAACACACUUAAGAAUUAUUAGAGAAGUACUGUACCAGUACUGUGCAGUUCCUUCAACAAGCUACCAUAAACAUAGAACGGGUGAUGGCUCGAAGUUUUUUGAUAGAAUGACAUGCUAUGAUUGAUCUAUUUCUGCCGUUUAAUUACAAUUUAGUACAUGACAUGGGAUUUUACCUUAUUACCUAAUUGCUAGCUUUGUACUUAAAUAUCUCAUAGUUUUGUCUCUCAAUGUUAAAACUUCAAACCUGAGUAUAAGCUAAACAAAAAAGUACCUCCAGAUUUAAGAAUCCAAACAAAUGAUUCUGGAAAUUUCUACAGGAUGGAUAUCAAUUCUAUCUGCAUUGCAAAUUUAACUUCUUUUCAUAUAUGAUCCUGGGUCCUAUUAUUCUGAUGACUUAUAAUAAACAACAUUCCUUCCAAUCCCACCCCCCAGUUGAAGGUUUCAAAUAGUAAAUCAUGCCCUUUUAGACAACUUAGAUUUUAGAUAAAAUGUUGAUUCAGUAUGGCCUUAGAAUAGGCACAUGUCAUAGUAUUAAGAUUUACGGACUCCCAUUGCUAAUAGUUAAUUAAUAAAAUCAUGUGCUAAGCCUUUGAGAAAAAUAAACGUUGCCCGGAUGUCGUCGUCCUUCAAACAACUUGACUUUUUAGGUGGGAACUCGACCUCCAAAAGAAAAUCUCUUUUAAGUUCUGUAUUAUAAAAUACUGAUUCACUCCCCUAUUUUUUGUCAGCUGGACUUGUGGAAAGAGUUGUUCUACUUGGAGCACCCAUUGCAAUUAAAGAAAUGAACUGGGAAGCUACUCGGCAGGGAUUGUUGCUUUACCUUCUGCAUUCAUAUUCACAAAUAUUGAUAUUGUAUCAAUAAUAGGCACAUAUGCAUCAGUUACUGUUAUUGCAUAUGUUUAACAUUCUCUAUUAUGCAGGUGGUGGCUGGAAGGUUUGUGAAUGCAUAUUCUACCAACGAUUGGAUACUUGGAAUUGCGUUUCGUGCCAAGUAUGCAAGUCUUAAAUCUACUGUGAAAAUAUUAGGAUUGUGAAAUUGAUAGGUAGAUCACAUCUUGCUUUUGAAGUUGAGAUUUGUGCCUAACUGUGUCAAUAGAAGUAUCAAAACAAAAGAAGAAGUGAAUUUUUUUUGUCCAUUCUUUUGCUUAUUGAUUUUCGAUGUUGCCCUUUGCCUAUAACAGUCUUCUGACACUAGGAUUGGCAGGAAUUCAACCAGUGGAAGUGCCUGGAAUUGAAAAUGUAAAUAUUAUUCGUAAUGCUGGUCAACAUAGCGUAACAUAUGUUUGGGAUUUCAACCUUUAUCUCUCCAUUGUUUUUGACAGGUUAACGUAACUAGCAUAAUUGAUGGUCACUCUUUUAUCUUUGGAAUGCCCAGGAAAUCCUAGAACAGCUCGAACCGAUUUUCAGUCCUCCCCCUGUCAAAACAUAGUUUGUACUGAAAUUCUGGCAUAGAGUGCAAUUGCAUCAGAGGCUUUGUUCUUGUCGGAAAUGGAGGUUUGGAUCUAAUUUUAAGUGUUACCGUAGUCGGCUUGUGUAUUCUUGAACCGAGGAUAUUUCAUUAGUUACUGCUUGGUACUUCUAUAAAUUUCAUUUUAUCCUCAUUCUUUGCGCAAUAUGAAUCAUAAGAAUUGAACAAAUGAAACAGGUAAACAGGUGGUAAUAUUGAAGAUCUGUACUUGCUCGUGUUACUGAGGAGAUGAAGAGUGGCUAUAAAAGUGCAAAACAAAUGCUGGAGUUCCCAUACGAGAAAUUAAGUAGAUGCCAUAUUUUUGGAACUGAUACAAAUCAACAUUGCCAAGAAUGUAGAAUGUAAAAUGAAUAAUGUUAAUUUACAUAAACAUAAAAUGUCACAACAUGUAGAACUUUUAGCUUCAAUGAUACUAUAGUAUACUUUUCUACACUAACAUGAAAGUAUUUUGCACAUUGUUCUGAG
rnacentral:lncRNA from 1 species